rnacentral:rRNA from 1 species
ACUGCUCAGUAACACGUGGAUAACCUGCCCUCAGGUCUGGGAUACUCCUGGGAAACUGGGCCUAAUCCCGGAUAAAUCACUGAUGCUGGAAUGCGCAGUGAUUAAAAGCUCCGGCGCCUGAGGAUGGGUCUGCGGCCUAUCAGGGUAGUAGUGGGUGUAACGUACCUACUAGCCGACGACGGGUACGGGUUGUGAGAGCAAGAGCCCGGAGAUGGAUUCUGAGACACGAAUCCAGGCCCUACGGGGUGCAGCAGGCGCGAAAACUUUACAAUGCGGGUCACCGCGAUAAGGGAACCUCGAGUGCCAGCAUACAAUGUUGGCUGUCCAGGUGCCUAAAAAGCAUCUGUUAGCAAGGGCCGGGCAAGACCGGUGCCAGCCGCCGCGGUAACACCGGCGGCUCGAGUGGUAACCGCUAUUAUUGGGUCUAAAGGGUCUGUAGCCGGCCGGAUAAGUCCCUUGGGAAAUCUGGCAGCUUAACUGUCAGGCUUUCAGGGGAUACUGUUCGGCUUGGGACCGGGAGAGGUGAGAGGUACCUCAGGGGUAGGGGUGAAAUCUUGUAAUCCUUGAGGGACCACCAGUGGCGAAGGCGUCUCACCAGAACGGAUCCGACGGCAAGGGACGAAAGCUAGGGGCACGAACCGGAUUAGAUACCCGGGUAGUCCUAGCCGUAAACGAUACUCGCUAGGUGUCAGCCACGGUGCGACCGUGGUUGGUGCCGUAGGGAAGCCGUGAAGCGAGCCACCUGGGAGGUACGGCCGCAAGGCUGAAACUUAAAGGAAUUGGCGGGGAGCAC